rnacentral:rRNA from 1 species
GUAGGGAGCAAGCGUUGUCCGGAUUUAUUGGGCGUAAAGAGCUCGUAGGCGGUUUCGUAAGUCGGAUGUGAAAACUCAGGGCUCAACCCUGAGACGCCAUCUGAUACUGCGAUGACUGGAGUCCGGUAGGGGAGCAUGGAAUUCCUGGUGUAGCGGUGGAAUGCGCAGAUAUCAGGAGGAACACCAAUGGCGAAGGCAGUGCUCUGGGCCGGUACUGACGCUGAGGAGCGAAAGCAUGGGGAGCAAACAGGAUUAGAUACCCUGGUAGUCCCAUGCCCGUAAACGUUGGGCACUAGGUGUGGGGUCUUCUAACGGAUUCCGUGCCGUAGCUAACGCAUUAAGUGCCCCCGCCUGGGAGUACGGCCGCAGGCUA